GACGAACGCUGGCGGCGUGCCUAAUACAUGCAAGUCGAACGCUGAAGAGAGGAGCUUGCUCUUCUUGGAUGAGUUGCGAACGGGUGAGUAACGCGUAGGUAACCUGCCUGGUAGCGGGGGAUAACUAUUGGAAACGAUAGCUAAUACCGCAUAAAAUUGAUUAUUGCAUGAUAAUUAAUUGAAAGAUGCAACUGCAUCACUACCAGAUGGACCUGCGUUGUAUUAGCUAGUUGGUGAGGUAACGGCUCACCAAGGCGACGAUACAUAGCCGACCUGAGAGGGUGAUCGGCCACACUGGGACCGAGACACGGCCCAGACUCCUACGGGAGGCAGCAGUAGGGAAUCUUCGGCAAUGGGGGGAACCCUGACCGAGCAACGCCGCGGGAGUGAAGAAGGUUUUCGGAUCGUAAAGCUCUGUUGUAAGAGAAGAACGGGUGUGAGAGUGGAAAGUUCACACUGUGACGGUAGCUUACCAGAAAGGGACGGCUAACUACGUG
rnacentral:rRNA from 1 species